CAUUGAGUAUACAGCUGUUCGAACCUGAUUUUUUCAAGGUAAUUAUCAUGAUUGGCGUUCCAUCUUUAUGAUGACCGUGAACCUAGACUUAUAUUACAACACUCAUACGAAUCAAUCAUAAAUUGUUACCAUUUUGCGAAACGGGCCGAAGGCUAUAAAAAAAACCGAAACCACCAUCACCUCUUAUACACUCGACACAAUCACAAAGGAUCCAAGAACUCUCUCCCUCGUUGUUUCACGGCUGCCGGAGGUUGGAGUUCACCGGAAAUGUCACCGGUACCGCCCCGAAGUUCACGACGGUAUCACGUCGGAACUAGUAUUGUUUCGCCUCUUCGCUAUUUCCCUCACUCUCUCGUUAACCGGAAGCCGCCGGAGAAGAACCUGCAAGUCCGCCGGAACCGACGGGUCUCCUUUCUUCUCGGAUUACCGUUCGUUCUCUUGGAUUCCUAAUCUUACUCGUGCGUUACUUACAAGAAAUCACGAACGCAACCAAUGUGGAUGUUGACCAUGCAUGGAAUCUAGUAGGAUGCUUAGAUACACACUUAGA